rnacentral:rRNA from 1 species
CGUGUAGGCGGCUUGGUAAGUCAGAUGUGAAAGCCCUGGGCUCAACCCGGGAAGUGCAUUUGAAACUGUCAGGCUCGAGUAGGGGAGAGGGAAGUGGAAUUCCUGGUGUAGAGGUGAAAUUCGUAGAUAUCAGGAGGAACACCGGUGGCGAAGGCGACUUCCUGGCCCUACACUGACGCUGAGACGCGAGAGCGUGGGUAGCAAACA